GUGGGCGCCCCCGGCCCGGCGCGCUUUCGUUUUCGUCCAGGACAAAGGUCCCUCGCGGCGCUGGUCGCGGACGCGGAGACCCCCGUCCUGCGGGCCACUCUUCGUCGAGGUCCGGUGGUUCAGUACAGAGAAGCCGGAGCCGGGAGAAGAGGAGCGGCGCGGUCCGCGGCGCGAUGCGGGACCGGGGAAGCGGGCCCUGGCUGUGCACUUCGCCGGGCGCCGUCCCGCAGCCGACCGGCCCUGCGAAGAGUCGCGGGAGAAGCCACCGCUCUGCUCCCGCCGAUUCGGCGCAUGAGGGAGGGAGGCGUUUGGAGUCCGGGACUCGGGGCCUGUGCGGCGGUGGGCACGAUAGCGCAGCGCUCGCUGCGCUCGGGCGCGUUCCUCCGGCAAGGGCACGGCCAUCGACCUGUGCGCCACGGUCACCGUGGGGUUCGAGGCGACUCCUGAGGGCGGACAGGCCUUCCACAGACGAGGGGCACGCGAAGGAGGUUGCUCUUGAACCCGAAGCCGCGCCAGCUUGCAAGAACUCCACGGCCGUCUUUUAACAUUCCGCAACUUGGAAUUUGUGAAAUACAGCUUCUAAUCUCAGGUGUGCGGGCUGUUUGCCGGAGAUAAUUUUGCUGCACACAUAAAAUAGCGUUGGCAGGCAUCUCAAACAGAAUAGAAGGAAAAGAGAAAACAUGUCUUUUCAGGGUAGAUGUGUUUAGAAGGAGUAUUUGGGAGCUACAAUUCUUCCUUGAAAAAUUGAAAUCUUUCAUCCUCUUCCUAAACCAGCACUGCUUAUUUUUUCCGUUGGUCCGGCAUUUAUGGAGAGUCGAUUUGGGGGCGGGGGGCGGGGGGCGGCUCGUCAAGCAUCGGCAGCGAUGGGGCUGGUUGAGUGCGAGGCCCUUGUGUGGAAGCUGUUGUUUAUGGUGGCAUAAAACGAAAAACAACUCAUAACUUUGCAUAAUAAACCCCCCUUUAUAGGUGGCUCACACACAGGCCUGGCCACGGCCCCUGGGCAGUUUGUGGGGAGCAAGAGAAGGGGUGAAGGAAUGCGCAUUUGCCGUUAAUUACAGGGUUUUAGGGGAACGCUGAAAUUAACAUCUUCAAAGUUGGGUUUCAGAAGCCGAAGCAGCCUCUGCAGGCCAGCACUGUUUUCAUUUUAUUUUAAUCCAUUGGUUCUAGCUAUUUGGGGUUUUAAAAUGCAUGUUUGUACUUGCGUGUACCUAUUCUGUUAAAAUGAAACCCAUACCUGUGGGGGAUUAAGCCCGCUUUUUAAUAUGAUCACAGCACAGGUGCGAUUUCUCCUCCAGCCUCCUCAUCGUGUGAUGUGGUUUUGAUAACCUCGAUGGGUGCUUGGGCCACAGUAUACUGGUGGGGGGGGAGCUGUUUCCGUGACACCCCAGAGUUGUGAGCUGGCGCUUGGAGGCCAUGUUAUCGGGAACGUGGACAGAGGCCUGAGCAGCCCAGGCCUGCCUCUCGUCUCCCUGUCCCUGGGCUGCCUGGUGCUGCCUGGUUCCCAGAGCCCAGAGGCAAGAGAAGGUUUCAGUAAGGUCUGGCCGCGAGGCUGAAAGUUUGCUUCGGUCUCGCGGGCUAACCUGGCCCGCCGUUUCACCAGCCCGUUCACCCUCCCGUACCCCCCGCAUUUUGAAUUUUUAUUUAUGACUUUAUCAGAGGCAAUUAGCAGACGUGAAACCUGGGGUGGGAGGCUCGGGAGUGAUCUCAGAAACGGGGGCACAGCUGCCGAAGGCGGUGCCGCUCCAGCCGGGAGCUGUGUUUGGCGUGGCGUUGGCGACGACGAGGUUAGUAAUUAUGAGAAGCUCAAGUUCCAUCGGGGCCUCACCUGCAAAACGUGGGAGACGUUUCCCAGGUCCACAGAGGCCCUGUAACGUAUCGUGACAUGUGUGGGAAUGAUGUGGCAUUCUGCCCAGGUUCUUGGGCAUCCCCCAGGAUCAAAACAGACCCCAAAACAAGGAUACCCAUAGCUCCUUCACGGGCCUGUAGGCCAGACAAGGGGAGCAGGGAAAGGCCUGAGCAUCCGAGGAUGCACCCCCAGGGCCACGUAGCAGGGAGUUGCUGUUUGUCAAAGCUCCAGAGGUCCAUCUCCUGUCCCUAAGUGUCCCCCUGGAACACAGAAGGUGACGGGGUUGGGAGCCUCCAGCAAACAUUCGGGCCGCCCCACGGACCGAGGCCCUGCCUCAUCACCAAUGCCGCCCUGUCCUGCCUUUGUCCUUGUCCUUUAGAGCCAGCCCAGUUCCAGUGGAGACUCAGGUCCUACCGGGGCUUCUUGCCGUGUUGGGAUAUCCCAGGCAGGCACAAUUUAUUUUUGAUGACAUGCACACAAAAGACGAGGUUCUGGAAAUGAAACUGGUGCCUGUCUUUUUUUUUAAAUCACUUCUGGAUUUAAUAGAAAGACCGUACCAGGCAGGGGGCAGGAUCUCACGGGCCGUGGUGGCCCGGUGGGAAGGUGGCCCUGGAAUUCUUGUUUUUGUUUUAAACGAGGGCGGCCCCUUGCCUGCACUGGGGCCUCGCCGUGCCCAGCCUCCGGCCGCCGGAGGCCCUGGAUCCUGGCUGCGGGGCCUCUGGUGGGGGCCGGCCGCUCACUUGGGCAGCAUGCGGUGAUGAGGCCUCCACCGUGGCCAGGUCUCAAACACACCUCGUGGACAGGUGCAGACAGCAUUUGUUUCGCUCAGAGAGAACAGUGGGGAGCUUUGCAGCGGGGUUACUUUUGGGUCUGUGUGGUUUACAUGUGACCGGGGCUGACUCUGAACCCAUCCUCGGAAGGGUACUGGGGCCUGUUCCGUCCUGGCCUGGACCAGGCCUGCCUCAGAGGGAGAGGCCAGGGCGGGUGCUCCCCAGUGUCCAGAUACUGACAUGCACUGAGGGACAGUGUUUGGGAAGGGAGGGAGGCCCUUCAAGCCCAGGCCGGAAAACAUCUGGAAACCACCAUGCUUAGUUGUUACUGGGCUUGACGGGUGUGUUUUCACGUUUGGGGAGAAGAGAGGAUACUCUUGCAGAAAUCCCAUGAAAUGGGGGUGUCCUAGCUCACAUCCGGGCAGCUGCAGUCUGGCCCCUGCCCCCAGUUCGUCGCGGGACCUGGAUAAGUCACUUCACCCCCCCCGGGCCUGUGCCCUGAGGUUUAGAGCAGGAAUAAUGGUAUCGACCUCGGGGUUGUUUGGAGGGUUCAGAUGAUAUUAUUUCCACAAAACGUAGUUCCCGGCACGUGGCAGGGACGCUGUAAAUGGCUGCUGCCGUUUAAUUGUCAUUGUUGUAAAUGGUAAUCUCCAUUUUUAUUGCUGGUUGUUAUUAUAUUUUUGAGUUUCUAAGAAACAGAGUCCAGUUUUGGUUUCACUAGAAAGGGCACCUCGAAGUACGCUCCCCUGCCCCACAGGUGGUGGCAAAGGGAGCUUUGGUGAUAUUUUCAAGGCAGGCCGUGAGCAUGCAAAGCUCGGGCUUUCCUUGUCACUGAGACUUGGCCUGCGUGCAGUAUAUGGGACCAAGUUCUCUUGGGGUCCUGGAUCAUGCUCACGAGGAGGUGCCCCUUCCUUUGAGGAGCUAACCUGGCCCCAGGGCCUGACAUGUAUGCCCCCCCCCCACCUUUUUGGGGUCCAGGGAAAGAAUGAGGGCAGGACAUCCUGACUUGGGGGUCGAGAGUGGCUGGCCACCCCAGCUACCAGCGUCCUUGGACGAGUUCAUUGUCCUUUGCCCUGAUCUGGGCGAACGCUUCUCGGGGUAUUUGCUCUGGGAGGAUUUUCCCUCUCAGCUGGUCGUACGGGAGGACCCAGCAAGGUUGCACUUCAUCAGAACCUCUUGCUGGAACAAGAGAGAACCCUAAAAGACAUCAGCUCGAAGGAGGAAGAAAAAACAACAAUUGUCUCCAUGCGAAGACAAUGGACCUUUUAUACGAAAUAUUUAUUUUGGGGGCCGACCCGUGUCCCGUCGGCUGGGACGGCGGAGCUGGAGUGUCUGGGUAUCGCAGGCCCUAACUCAGUCAGAGACGGAGAUUUAUAGAAAAGGAAGAAAGAAGGUCCCCUGACUUGGUCCUUGGAACGCUUCAGUGGGAAUGUCUGGCUUUCUUUGUUGAGUGGAGUUGAAACUUUCUCAAGUUUAUUUUGUUUUCUUCUGUGGUUUCUUUUUUUCUGAAAGGUUGCAAGGGCACGUUCACAAGCACCAGGAAGGUAGCCGGGUUUCGGAUCGUGGGCCGGAUGGGGGGGCCUCCACCACCACCUCCGCGCCCCCGCACCGCCAGGCCUGGUUGGCUUUUGUCAGCUGGGGGUUCGCAGAAUGAAAGUGAGAAAAACGGGCUGGAAGAGGAAGGGUUCGUUCUCAAGGGGUUGGGGGGAGGCCGUCGAGAGCGAUUUUGGACAUUUGUGAUUCUCUGGUAUCCCAGAUCCCUUCUCUGGUGAACUUGCGAGCAGCCUGCGGGUCACUGGAGAGUCUGGCCCGCGUGGGUGGAGUCAGCACAGGCCCUCAGACACCCUGCCUGCCGCAGAGGCUGUGUUUGUAACCCCCGACAGGCCUGGCCCAGAGUUAGCACUGGGUGGAAGUUUUUUAAUAGAAUGAACAGAAUUUCCCUCCUAGGCCUACCGACGAGCCACCUCCUCUUCCUUGCUCGGCUGCUGGGGAUGGUGCUGGAGCAGCUCAGUCCUGUUCCCGCUAAACCCACAGCGUCGACGCAGCCAGGAAGGCACCCUGGGAGAGGAGGCUGGGCCCCGGCUCAUGUUAGGGACUUCGGCAGGGUCUGACCGAAUGGGGCUUGUAAUGAGAGCAUGGGGUGGGGGGUGGUCAGCUCUUCCUAGACUCGUGGGGUGGGGGGACAUUGGGAAGGCUGCUGUGGACAGUUGGCCCUGGACCCAUGCCAGCGGAUGCCCCUUUGAGGCAGGUGGAAGACAGAAAAGGGAGUAGCCCCCGUGGGUGGGGGACGAGAGUCCCCUCCCUGCCAAGCUUCCCUUUUACCCAAAAGACUUUGUUGGCAAAAUGAUAAUAUUUAGGUUCAAAAAUGAGGUUUGUUUUUUGUUGUAAUUGCUAUUGCUUUUUUUUUUUUUAAAUCCUGGAAUCUCUAAGCUGUGAGCUGCUUCACCUUCUGCAUUGACCUGUGUCUCCCCCGCCCCCCGGGCCCCAGUACUGUGAAGAAAGCUCUCUUUUGGGAAUGGCCAAAACGGCUUCUGAGGCCAGGGGUAGAACUGGUGAAACCGAGAUGGGAAAGACUGGAAUCUCAUGACACGGGCUAGAAAAACCCUAAAACGCAAGCUUUUCUCCGCUUGUUUUCGGCGGGUGGGGGAGUUCAAAAGUGAAAUGCUAUGCAUACCAUACGGUCGUCUCGUGAAAUUUUGGACGGGAGACUUGCCUUUCAGCGAAGCGCGGAGGCCCGCGUGGACGGACGGUGGCCCGCUGUUUAUCAGGGGCCGAGAGGCUUUCUGGGCAGGGAUGGGACUCGCAGAAGCAAUGGUUAAUGUCGUCAAAUGAGCCUGGCGGUCGGGGUCAGAAAAUGCGUGCACGGGAGGCACACAGUAAAAAGGGCCUUUUUUUUUUUUUUUUUUUUUAAGGAGUAAUAGCUUUCCCCUUGCGAUUGAAAAAGAAACGUUGUUUCUGAUGCCUUCGGCGUUCAGGGCCGGGGUUCUCUGCGAGCCACCCUUCUUUAAUUCUGGGAUUUCAGAUGGCAGGAAGAGCAUGCCGCCGAAAUAUUUAUCUGCUGAUUUGGGGCUCUUAAAUCUAGAUUCGCCUUUCGUGUGUUAAAGAACGAUAUUUACAUUCAAAUCAGCCUUUUAUAAUUACAUUUUAAAUUAUAAUAAAAUGAUGGUGCCCGGGCUGCAGCAUUCUUGUGCUUUAACCGGAAGAGGCUGCGGUGAAUUGCGUGUGCGUUGCACAUCACGUCACGCAGACCUGCCUGGGCUCCUUGCUGGCUCCAGACGUGCGGGUUCUCCAGACACGUGUGUCCUGGGCACGUCAGGGUCCCUGCAUGUCACCUGUGGAGCCCUCCCCGUUCUGCCAGGAAGAGCAGGGCUCGUCAAUGGGGAUCCUGGCCCCAGCCCCUUGGCGACGCUGCCAAAGCUCUCUGAGAAGGACUUGAUUCGGGCCUGGCUGCUGUGCCGUGUCCUGAUCUCACGCUGGCCUGCAGGCCUUGAAGCGGAGGCCAUUACCUCGUGGGCAGCCAGAUGGGCACAGCAGCGGCCACUUCAGGCUGUGAUGAUGUGUAUGUAUCAGGGUCGGGGGGACCCACCUCCUCCUGCAGCUGGAACCCAGCCUCUGCCUCCUCUUCCAUCAGGGCUGGCCUCAAAAUGGCCACCUGGUUUUCAGUGGCUUCCCCUGUGAAGCACGGAGGACCCUCUGCUCCCGGGUCCAGGCUGUUGGCAGCUGGGCCAGGCCGUUGCUGGUCGGGCCCGUGGCAUCGGAAUCCUACCUGCUUUGUCUCUGGCAUCAGCUGGUGAGCUGGUCACGUGGCCGUGUGUGCGGGACCAGAGUGGGGACCCGAGGGCUCCCCCUGGGCACGUCCUCCUUACUCACUCCCCCCACUUUCGCUUCGGGCAUGCUGGGCCCUGAGCGAGCGUGAAGCAGUAUUAAAACGUCCUCCUGGCAGCCAGGCAGCGCCCGUCCCCGGAUGUCGAGGUGUCCAGGCCGCCCCCACCUCCACCCAGUCCUCGCCCACAGGAAGGCCCAUGAGCCAGGGAGGCAGGCCCAGCCACGGUCACUCCACGCCGUCCCCUCUGCCUGAGUGCAGAGCUGGCCCUGCCGGCCCUUCCCACACGGGUGGCUUGUGGCCCACCCUGAACGGGGCCAGCCCGGCGGCCAUGUCCUCAGCGCCUGGCCACAUAAAGGGCUGAAGGAGAGACUCGGGCAAACAGGCUGGCCACGUGGAUGCGGCCCAGACACCUGCAGCAAAGUCCGAUAACUCUCCAAAUAAGUGCCCCCCAUGUUAAAACUCAGGGUCACUGACUAGGGUCCGAGGGCUGGAGCACGACAUGGUCACCUUCCCCCCUGUGGUGCUGGGGGUUGACUUUGGUGAAACUGAGGAUUCGUGAUGGUCUGAGAGGCCGUGGUGACGUGCCUGGACCCCGGAUGGCCGCCUGGCCGCCUUGUGGCCCCUCUCGGCCUGAGCGCCAGGUGGGUGGCAGGCUCAGCACCCCGUGUGCACUUUUCACCGUCAUCACAGCAGCCCUGGGAGUCAGCCAUUCUCCCUGGCCUUCACACGGAUGGGGAAACUGAGGCUGGGAGAGGCGGGGUGGCUUGCGCAGGGUCAGGUGGCCGGUCGGACACGAGGCCGGUGCAGACCCACGUCCCGGGCUCUGGGUGGCCACGGCACCGCCUCCGGGGCGUUGGUCAGGGUGGGCUCCCUCGGAGGUCUCGCGGCUGCUGGGGUGGGGCUCUCCCCUCGCCCCUGGGGAGCCGGCCGGGAGCGCAGCCGGGUGCUGGCCUCCGCCUGCUCCUCUGCAGGGCCCAUGUGGGAACAAUGUGGCCUCUAUCCCCAGCAGCCUGUCCGCCUGGACUCCCUGAGCAGCCCGGCUGGGCCGGCCGCCCCAACAUGGCGCCGGGGCCCUGCUGCCUGGCCACGGGGAGGGCUGGCGCCUGGCCGGGCCUGGGCCGGGCCGGACUCCCGGCGUCCUCCUCGGCCGGCCGCUGAGUGGCCGGAGGCUCCUGCCUCCUCCUGCCGCUCCCCCUCGGCUAGCCCGCCCCCCGCGUGGUGGUGGGUUUGGGGGUCUGGCUACCCGCCUCUGCCACGUCUGCCAUCCUGCCGGCACCCAUGAGCAUCUUUCAAAAAUUCCCGGUGGGCGGGGCCGAGCCGCAGCGGCCGCCUCUGGCCCCCCCUCCCCGGGCAGCCAGUGCCAGAUGAGAGCCGGAGACAAAAGUAGCAUUUUCCUCGUCCUCCUGGGCUGGCAGCCGGGCCUCCCCCAGCGCCACUUGGCUCCUGGCAGCCCUGCCUCUGGGUGCCGGGGUGGCCGAGGCCCAGGCCAUGCCAGCCAGGACCGAGGGACUGAUGGACCACGGUGGCCAGAGACCAGCACGCCCGAGGGCCUGUCGGACGGAGGCUGGCACCUGGGGACGGCCUGCUGGCCAGCAGGACCUCCCUCUGCCGCCUGCCGCUGCGACCGGCUGGGCAAGGGGACACCAGUUCACCUCGUCGCUUUUGAGACAGCGCCUCGCCCUCCUGCGCCUUCGAACGUGUCUGACCCCAGAGCACCCCCGAGAGAGCGGGUCCCACAGUGGCCUUUGGAAGAUGCUCUAGGAACGCACGGCCCAGAGCCCAGGCUGAGAGGGGCCCUGAGCGCCUGCUCCCCAUCUGGCCCGCUGAGCCCGACUUCGAACUUGCAUCUGGCCCCCACGUCUUUGCAGCCACCUGAUGCCAUCCGCUGCCCUUUGGAGGAGUGACCCCAGAGAAUAGGGGUGUUUCAACCCCAGUGUUUCGGGUGUCACAUCUUCUUCCUGGCCACCUUGUUCCCCAGUGACUCCUGAAGCUUAGAUGACUGUGGCCUCGCUCAGGUCAGAAGUGGCACUGAGCUGGGCGCGCCUUCCCCACGGUGAGCUGGUGAGCUGGGAGUCAGGACGGGCCCCUGGGCCGGGACAGUGCCCCUGAGAGGGGCACCUCGCCCCCUGCCCCACCCUCGCCAGCCUGAGCCCACAGGAGUCCCCGAGCUUCUCAGUCACUUCAGGAAGCAGGCUGCCCACUCCAGCUGAAAGCCCGUGUGACUCACAGGAUGGCAUGGGUGACACUGGGCACCACCGCAUGCGCCUCCCACCAGCCCGGCUCUGGGAAGUACGGGAAAGGGUGUAUGAUGGGGAGGGGUGUGGUCAGACCCAUGUCCCUCCGGGUCUGCUCCGGGCCCCGCCGUCUGGCACAGAGAUCUCGAGAUGGGACCUGGUGGUCCACUGCCAGACCUUUGCCCAGCUGUCCCCUCCAGCCGAAGCCGCAUCUUUCCGUGUCCUCCUGCCGGCUCUUCAGCGCAUCCCCAAGCUGACACACCUCAUCUACCCGUGAUGCACUUGUGACAUUGAACCUUUGACCUGCUGGUCCCUGAAAGUUCUGUCUGGCCUCCCCAUCAGACUGGACAUGGCCUGAAGGAGCCUUGGUUCCUUACAGCGUGGAUGGGAGGAGUGCUCACCCCUCUCUCUCCUUCCCCAGAGCUCACAGCUGCACCUCCUGCCCCCGUCCCCGCUCAUCCUGCCUCGAGGGCAGUCCCCGAGGUGGCCCCGCUCUCCACCCAGCUGUGAACCAGCCCUGGAUGUGCCCCUAAUACACCCAAGCCGCCUGCCGUCGACCCGAGACGUCACACGGGUGAGUCUGGUCUGGAGUAAGAAGAAAAGCCACCUGUGGAGAAUCAAGUCGUAUCUGUCUCCCACACUGGGCUGGGGGCCUGCGGGUCUGGGGAGGGGGCUUGUGGAGACAGCCAGGGUGUGUGUCUGUCUCCCUGCCCCUCGCCAACCCUGGGGAGUGGGCCCGUUGGGCAGUCCCUGGCUCCCAGCUGGGGUGGCAGUGUAGGCUCUAGAGCUGAAGCUGGGCGCUGCUGGACGCCCCUCGACAAACAAGGCAGAAUCUUCCUGCCGGAGCACUCACCAUUGAGGGGGGUCUAAGGGAGACCCUUGGCCAUUGUCCCCUUAGCCCCUGCCCCAGAGCCUGGCUGGCUUUGCCAGGAGAGUCCUGUUUGCCAGCAGGGAGUCCAGGUGGAGAUGGGGACAGGACCAGGGACCCUCUCACGCGUACUUCCUGCCAGGGCCUGGAGGGAACAUGGGGCGCCCGUGAGCGCAGCCAGCCAGGUCCCCAGAGGGGAGCGGGGCUGCCUCGGGCAUUCGUGGCUUCUCCAGGUGACUGCACCUCAUUCUGUGCAUGGACGGUGCUGGGCACGGGCCCUGAUGUUUUUGUCGCUAGCCGAGGGCCCCAGGACUUAAACUCUGUGCUUCUUGGGGGAGAAGGGUACAGCACUGGGUGCCCAGGGGUCCUUCAGAGAGCAGUAGCUGCCCUGCUCAUUGGGACCGGGCACAAGGCCUCUCUCUGUGGCAGUAGGCAAGGCCACGCCUGGCAGAGCUCGAGAGUCACCUCUUUGUCCCCCCAUCCCAACCUGGGGCCAGGCACUCUCUCCGUCUGCAAAACGGGAUCAGUAAUCUUAGCUUCAGCAGGCCUGUGCUUAUGAAAUGGCACGGCCCAGCUUGCUGCCUGCCUGGAGGAGGUGGCCUGCUAGCAAGGGUAUGGAAGAGGUUUGGGGGAAGGAGAGCUCAGAGCUCUCCUCAUUCUAGCCUCUGCUCAGCCACCCAUCAGCUGUGUGACCUCCCGUUACCGCUCGCCUCACCGGCUUUUCCUCAGAGUCCCCCAGGAAGGCGGUGGCGGCGGUGGUGGCUGUGGUUGGUGUUUGUCGAAGCUGACUCUCUGCCCUCAGGCACUGAGUUCGGGGCCCUUGGGAGGUGCGAGCCGUCCCCAGGGGGCCAGGUUCCCUUUGGGAAGAAAAGAACAGCAUCCUGCAGCCUGUUCCAAAGGGAGGACAGCUCAGGGCACCCUGGACAGCGGGCCCAGCCCGACCAGAGCGCGCGGGGAGGGGCCCCGCCUGUCCAGGGGCUGGCAAGAGUAGGCCUGAGGCCACAGGCUCAUCUCGGGGCAGCAGGUCGCCAGGGAGGUGGCCAGGUGCGGACUCACUGCACCUUUCUGACACGUUGGCCUCUAACAAAUGACAGCCUUCUCAGCGUCACCAGCGCGGGAGUCCCACGGGACAUCAUGGCCUCGUUCGUCCAGAUGGGAGACAUCCAGUCUCCCGAGUCACUUUCCCAGAAUCCACACCGACUUCCCCUCCUCCCCCGCCUUUCUGUCUCGGCCCUGCUUGGCGGUUUUCUCCUGCCCCCGCUGCGGUGGGGCUGCCCCCAGGACGCCGAGCCACCUGCUGGAACCCUGCGCCUUCGGCGCCCCUGGGCCUGGCGCCAGCCCCGCUCACCUGCAGCUCUUUCUUCCCCCCUCCAGGAGGUGCCUCCCGAAGCCGUGAAGUGCAUCCAUCUCGGCGCCAAGACUGACGGCCCUUUGGGGUGAGGUAGUAGGUUGUAUAGUUUGGGGCUCUGCCCUGCUAUGGGAUAACUAUACAAUCUACUGUCUUUCCUGAAGUGGCUGUAAUAGCGGCGGUGGACGGCGUCCAGGACCCCGGCUGGGGAGGGGUGCGGGGAGCAGCCUUGGCAGGAUGGGGGUAGGGGUGUCAGUGGCUGCCAUGCAGGAAGUCUGCAAGGCCUAGGUUCCGCUCGCUGUGUGACCUUGGGCAGGUCCUUGGACCUCUCUGGUCUUCAGUGUCCUCAUCUGUAACACUGGGGCAAAUGAGGAUUGGAGGCACUGGGUGAAGGCCCCAGACCGGGCCGGGGCUCAGAGAUGCCCUUCCCUCCCUCCACACCGCCCCGAGAGCCGGUGGACCUGGGGGGACAGUCUGCAAUCCUCCCUCCCUGUCCCUGGUGUCAGGCUCCUGGGCGCCAGGAGGAGGAGUGUGGGCCCGAGGAUGGUGGGGUCAGCUGAGCCUGUGCGGGGGUUGCGGGGCAGCACCCCAGGGAGACCCACGGGGCCUACCCCAGUCAGCACCGCCACCCCUACGUCCCCUAGCCCGCCCUGCCCAGUGCCGGGCUCUGGUGAGAGGCAGCACCUCUGUCCUGGGGGGAGGGAGGGAGGCCAGGGCUCCAUUCCUGGUCACCGGCCUUUCCCAGCAGUACGAGAGAGGGGUGUCCUCAGGGCACACCACAGCCUCUUGGGCACAAGCCUGCCCUCUGCCCACCGCCGCAGGUGGAUGGCGUGGGCCGCCCUGUGCAUGGGGAGACCAAAGCGCCGUCCGCAUGUCCCUCCCGCCCCGCGCCGGCCCAGCCCUCCAGCGCUGGUGUCCAUGGACCCGGGACCGGCAUGGCGCGGUGGCGUGGACGGCAGGCCCUCCCACACCCGGGGGCUGGCGGGGUGAGGUAGUAGGUUGUGUGGUUUCAGGGCAGUGAUGUUGCCCCCUAGGAAGAUAACUAUACAACCUACUGCCUUCCCCGAGGAGCCCAGUGACACGUCCCCACGGGAGGGCCUGACCCAUGCUCGGCGGGUGACGUGGACCGGGUGGGAGGCCACGGUGUGCACAACUGGACAUCAAUAAAGGCUGUUCUGACGUGAA